GGCAGCAAAAAGCAACACUGGCCGCCAUUUUUUUGAAACGUCUACAUGUCAGUAUAUUUACUAGUGAUGGACGUAACUGCGAUUUUCCGAUAUCAGUGAUUUCUGUGAAAGCUACUUUUCAGUAUCUGUUAUUCUUAACUGUGAUUAGUCGCAGUUAAGAGUCGCAGUUAAGGAACGUAGGUCGUGUAUCCCUCCGCCACUGCUAUUUCUGGUACUUCCGCAAUUUCUGUGACUUCUGCUACUUCUGCGACUUCUGUGACUCCUGCUACUUCUGCGACUUACCACCGUAUGCCCACACAGAAAAUUGCAUCUCAACAAACCUGUCAUUGGUACCCGAACUACAUUCCAGUCACUCAGUAAAUUGAUAACUCAAAAUAUCAUUGUCACCAGAUCUGGAGAAAUUGCCACUGCGUCUUUAGACCGUUUUCGUCAGACGAGAGACACAGUUCUGUCUCUUGAUUACUGACUGCUGUACGUAUUUAUCCACAUCAAAGCUGUUGAGAGAGACUCGUGAAGAUUCAAGACAGCUCUUAAAGGAUUUGCAGUUUAAAAUUGACAUAAUUGUGAAAUAAGUGUGCAGAUGAGUGAUUAAACUGUGUUUUAUUGAAGUUGUUAUGCAAUUUUAAAGGAAUAAUAAAUGUUAAAUACAGUGAGUGAAU